rnacentral:rRNA from 1 species
CCACAAGUCAAGCUCAGUAGCGGCGAGUGAAGCGGCAAGAGCUCAGAUUUGAAAUCUCACCUAGUGUGCGAGUUGUAAAUUGCAGGUUGGAGUCUCGGGUUAGACGUGUGUGCAAGUCCCUUGGAACAGGGUGCCACUGAGGGUGAGAGCCCCGUAUCGUGCAUGUCGACACCUGUGAGGCCCUUCUGACGAGUCGAGUUGUUUGGGAAUGCAGCUCUAAGUGGGUGGUAAAUUCCAUCUAAGGCUAAAUAUUGGCGAGAGACCGAUAGCGAACAAGUACUGUGAAGGAAAGAUGAAAAGCACUUUGAAAAGAGAGUGAAACAGCACGUGAAAUUGUUGAAAGGGAAGGGUAUUGGGCUCGACAUGGGAUUUACGCAUCGUUGCCUCUCGUGGGCGGCGCUCUGGGUUUUUCCUGGGCCAGCAUCGGUUUUCGUUGCAGGAUAAGGACAAUUGGAAUGUGGCUCCUCGGAGUGUUAUAGCCUUUUGUAGAUGCUGCGUAUGGGGACCGAGGGCUGCGGCGGACUCGUUUCGUCUCGGAUGCUGGCACAACGGCGCAAUACCGCCCGUCUUGAACCACGGACCA